AGAUAUACAGGUGGUGAUGUUACGAAAAGUUAUAGAUAAAGCUGUACAAUAGAUGAAACUGAAAGUGGAUAUUAACUAUUAAGUCGGGAUCUGAAUGUUUUAAAUGAGAAUUAUUCAAAAUGGUUGAAAUAUUCAAGAACUUGGUGGGUACUCUAAUCCGAGGACCGUAUCAUGUACAGAUUGUGAACACUUCAGAUUACAAUAAUCAAGUUUUGAGUGAUCCCCCACUCUACCUCUACAAAGAAAGAUCUACAUUCCAUGCUAUUUUGAAAUUACCAAAGUCUAGCUCAAAAGUUUUCAGUUUGUUCUGUUUGAGAGAAGAAGGAGAAGCAUUUGUAGUAUUCAAUUCCUUCCGGCAACGCCUGGCUAAACUGAUUAUUCCAGUUCCUCCCGACCUUGAUUGCAAACUAUUAAAAACUAUCUGUGACUGCUUAAGGGAGAACCCAUUAUGGUCGACUGCCCAUAUAGCAGCUUAUGUAGGCUAUGAAGAUGCUUUCAAGAAUGUGGAUGUCUUAAGGCACAUAAAUGAACAAUCACAAAUUACGGGUAAAACGGCUUUGAUGGUUGGUGUCAAGAAUAACAAUUUCCAGUGUGUGAAGACGAUGUUAAAGAAUGGUGCAAUGACAGAUCUGAAUGACAGAGAUGGCAACACUAUAUUCCACUAUGCCAUCCACUCCAAAGAAGUUAUCAUGUUGUUCAAGGAUUAUUCUGCAGCCAGUGCCAUUAACAAAAAGAACAACAAUGGUGAGACACCCUUCUUUCAUUGUUGUCAACAAGGGAGUCUGGAGUGCACUCAGGCUCUUCUUGAUAUUGGAGCAGAUCCCUAUCAAAUGAGUCAUGGAGUCGCUCCCAUCCACGUAGCCUUGAAGAGGGGAGAUUCCAAUUUGAUUGAAUUACUGUGCAACUUCGACAAGAGGCUGGCCUCUCAGCAAGACCAGAAAUACGGAGGCUUCCCAAUCCAUUGGGUACAAAAAGAAGAGCAUAUUAACAUUCUGAGGCAAUACGGAGCUGACAUAAAUGUCAUCAGUACUUACAAUUCUCGCUCCGCUCUCCACAUAAUGUUGGAGAAGCACCGCUACAACUGCGCCAUGACUUUACUUAGUCAUGGCAUAGAUGCCAACUUGAAAGAUAAAGAUGGUAAUACAGGUCUUCACAUUGCGGUUGAGCAUCAAAACCUGAGCAUGGUGAGAGCUCUGGCAAUAUUCGGGACUGAUCUGAACAUUCGUAACAAUCAGCGGCACACUGCAAGACAUAAAGCUGCUUUACUGAAAAAUGAUAAUGGGCCUGAAAUAGUAUGUUCACUAAAUCAAAGUGGGGCUUCUCGUUGCGGAACUGAUGUGUCUGGCUGUCUCCGAGGUUGUGUAUCUGGUGGUCAGUUCAAUGGAAGUUUGAAAACAAAAUCUCUUAUGACUGAUGAUUACGAUGCUGCCUAUGAUGAAAUGCUAAUAGGGCAAUUUCUAGCUACACAUGGUGCCAACAAAAACAAGGAUGGUUACAGGGUCCUCUGUCUUGAUGGUGGUGGUAUCAGGGGUUUAAUUACGAUCCAGAUGUUAAUUGAAAUAGAGAAACAUGUUGGUAAACCAAUCCAAGAAUGUUUUGACUGGAUUUCUGGCACAAGUACAGGAGGAAUCCUCGCUUUGGCCAUAGCCCAGGGUAAACCGUUGAAUUAUUGCAAAAGUUUAUAUUUCCGGAUGAAAAAUGAUAUAUUUUCUGGCAAACGACCAUAUUCUUCUGACAAACUCGAACAACUGCUGAAAGAUGAGUUUGGUGAAGACACUGUCAUGUCAGAUUUGAAACGGCCAAAGGUGAUGGUGACAGCUGUCAUAGCUGACCAGAUUCCACCCAAGCUGCAUCUCUUCCAGAAUUAUUCUUACUCAUUAGCGUUACCCAACAUAGAGCAACAGCCAGAGGAGACAUCUAUCCAUGCCCAAAAAGUGUGGCAUGCAGCUCGCUGUUCAGGUGCUGCUCCAACAUUUUUUCGAGCAUGUGGAAAGUAUUUAGAUGGAGGCCUGAUGAGUAACAAUCCAACUCUUGAUACCCUCACUGAAAUCCACCAGUACAACCUUGCAGAGCAACAAAAUAACCGAGAGACACGACCAGUAGGUUGUGUUGUAUCACUUGGCACCGGACGUAAACCUGUUGUUAAAACCAACAGUAUGGAUGUUUACCUACCUGAAAACUUCCUUGAUAUUGCAAUUUGUGCUGUGAGAAGUUUGGCACUCAAAGACCUCAUUGUCCAUCAGGUAACCAACACUGAUGACCAACCUGUCCAACAAGCGAGAUCUUGGUGCAAUAUGUUGAACAUACCAUAUUUCCGAUUCAACCCUCCACAAAGUGAAGACAUCCCAUUGGAUUGUCAGGACAGUGAGAAAAUUGUUGAUGUCAUGUGGGAAACUUUGUGUUAUUGUAAUACCCACAAAUCAAAAUUUGAAAAUCUUGCAACUAUUCUAAUGAGUAGAUAAGAUCUGACUGCAUUUUAUUUGGAAGCGGGGUGGAUUUCUUUUUCUUCUCCACAUACACACACACACACACACACAUACAUACAAACACACACACAUACAAACACAUACA
rnacentral:misc_RNA from 1 species